UUUUAUCAGUUUCAACAAACAACAAAUAGCCAAACGAUAUCAGCUUCCAACACCCGAUCAAUGCUAAACCGACCUAACAGCGCCAAAUCAACCCAACACCGCUAAAACUCGACCACCUCCGACUUAUCCCCAACGACCCGAAUAGCCUCCGACCAGACAAACCCCAACCCAUUGUCAACCCCGUCUACGAUAAAAAUUCUAGAAACUUGAUACCUCAUGUACUCUUAACAGUUGAAUUUUGUAAUCCAAGAGAGGGAUAGUACAAUUUUGUACCAAAUUCAACUCAUAAUCCUAUCUUAUUUUCAAAUUUCAAAGAGGUCCUAUCCGAAUUUCCCAAAAGGAUCCUGUAAUAUUUGUUCCCACAUCGUUUGAACCUGGAAAUCUACCCCCUAAUUCCUUCUAUAAAAUAUCCUUAUUGAGCUGAAAGAGGGGGUGGUGGAGAAAAGAAAAAAAAGGGAGAAAUUCUUUUAAAAAAAUGAGGGGUUUGAAAUUCUAAAAAAAAAAAAAGAAAACUUUUUUAGAGUACAUCAGCUUCUUUAGUAAAAUUAUCUCUUGCCUUCUUCUUUGAAAGCUGAUUGUUUAAUUGGAAGCAUUGAAGGUUCGUCGACUGAUUGCAGUUUUUGAGUUGAUGACAAUGUUAUUUUUCGAUGGUUGUAAAUCCGACGCUAGUUCGUUGUCUUAUUUUGUUGCUCCAACAUAGGUAUAUCUCCAAGGAAUAUUUGCUAUUGGAUGCUAAAAAGGCUCAUACUCGGAUAAAGGCAGGGUGGAAGCUACCACCAAAAAGGGAAAAGCAUCAACCUCUAAAGUAGUCUAAAAAGGCCUAGAGUUGUAACUUCCUAGCUCCUGAGAUGAUAAUGAAAUGCCUUUGGUAGUGAAACCGACUAGGCCCCUAGUAAGGCAACAUGACCAUCUAUUGACAUGGACCCGAGCGCCUAGUGUGCCAUAGGGAGUCUUUACCCUCUUCUACUCUCAUUAUAUAUUUUCAUUGGAGAUAAUGCAAUGAAUUUUAAUUGGGGGGGGGGGGGGGGGGGGUACAUUGCUCUACAUUUGACGGUCUAUACUUGUGGGUUUCAUUUGGUAGCAUUGGUUGGAUAGAUUUUGGGUACAUUGCUCUACAUUUGAUGGUCUAUACUUGUUAAUUUUAUUUGGUGGCAUUGGUUGGAUAGAUUUUGGGUUGGCCUUUGAUGGGAAUAUGGAUAAAUAUAUCAAGUAUCGCCCUUGUCGGGCAUGUUUCAUGCACUCAUUAUGAAUGUUAUACCCGAUUGUGAUUGUAUUGGUA